GAGUAGUAAAAGAUCAUAAAGAGUAUUAUAUCAGAUAAUAAAAAAUAAAAUAAUCUAAUGAAAAAUUUUUAGUGUUAGAUUUUACCCCAUGGUGCAGAUGCUGUAAAACCAUAUGAGCCAUCUGCACGAAAGCUCUAUCUUUUGAAGCUCUCUCCUCAACUAGCACAGCUUCAUCCUUUAGAAGUACUCAUCCUAUAAUCUCUGAAAAUAAAAAUAAAUAGAUUCACGAAUUAAUUAUACAAAUAUAGCAAGCAAUGUAAUAAUUGAAAUGAUACAAGAUAAAUAUGAAAAGUAAAUAAAACAACUAA
rnacentral:lncRNA from 1 species